ACRGCUGCUACCUGCCGGCGCUCGGCGGCUUCGUGAUGGUCCUCAGCGACGCCGGCGACAUGAUCUACCUGUCCGAGAACGUGCACCGCCUGCUGGGCCUCAGCCAGCUGGAGCUCAUGGGCCAAAGCGCCUUCGACUUCGUGCACCCCUGUGACCACGAGGAGCUGCAGGAGCUGCUGAGCC